UUUCUUCGGAGAGUUUGAUCCUGGCUCAGGAUGAACGCUGGCGGCGUGCCUAAUACAUGCAAGUCGAGCGAACUGAUUAGAAGCUUGCUUCUAUGACGUUAGCGGCGGACGGGUGAGUAACACGUGGGCAACCUGCCUGUAAGACUGGGAUAACUUCGGGAAACCGAAGCUAAUACCGGAUAGGAUCUUCUCCUUCAUGGGAGAUGA
rnacentral:rRNA from 1 species